rnacentral:rRNA from 1 species
UACGUAGGCAGCGAGCGUUGUUCGGAGUUACUGGGCGUAAAGGGUGCGUAGGCGGUUGUUUAAGUUUGGUGUGAAAUCUCCCGGCUCAACUGGGAGGGUGCGCCGAAUACUGAAUGACUAGAGUGCGGGAGAGGAGAGUGGAAUUCCUGGUGUAGCGGUGAAAUGCGUAGAUAUCAGGAGGAACACGGUGUGUAGACGGCUCUCUGGACCGUAACUGACGCUGAGGCACGAAAGCGUGGGUAGCAAACAGG